rnacentral:rRNA from 1 species
GCACUCUGACCAGCCAUGCCGCGUGCAGGAAGACUGCCCUAUGGGUUGUAAACUGCUUUUAUACAGGAAGAAACACUGCUACGUGUAGCAGCUUGACGGUACUGUAAGAAUAAGGACCGGCUAACUCCGUGCCAGCAGCCGCGGUAAUACGGAGGGUCCGAGCGUUAUCCGGAAUCAUUGGGUUUAAAGGGUCCGCAGGCGGUCAAUUAAGUCAGAGGUGAAAUCCCAUAGCUUAACUAUGGAACUGCCUUUGAUACUGGUUGACUUGAGUCAUAUGGAAGUAGAUAGAAUGUGUAGUGUAGCGGUGAAAUGCAUAGAUAUUACACAGAAUACCGAUUGCGAAGGCAGUCUACUACGUAUGUACUGACGCUGAGGGACGAAAGCGUGGGGAGCGAACAGGAUUAGAUACCCUGGUAGUCCACGCCGUAAACGAUGGAUACUAGUUGUUGGGCAUUAGCUCAGUGACUAAGCGAAAGUGAUAAGUAUCCCACCUGGGGAGUACGGUCGCAAGACUGAAACUCAAAGGAAUUGACGGGGGCCCGCACAAGCGGUGGAGCAUGUGGUUUAAUUCGAUGAUACGCGAGGAACCUUACCAGGGCUUAAAUGUAAGUUGCAUUAGUUAGAGAUAGCUAUUUCUUCGGACCACUUACAAGGUGCUGCAUGGUUGUCGUCAGCUCGUGCCGUGAGGUGUCAGGUUAAGUCCUAUAACGAGCGCAACCCCUGUUGUUAGUUGCCAGCGAGUCAUGUCGGGAACUCUAACAAGACUGCCGGUGCAAACCGUGAGGAAGGUGGGGAUGACGUCAAAUCAUCACGGCCCUUACGUCCUGG